rnacentral:rRNA from 1 species
AACGAACGCUGGCGGCAGGCCUAACACAUGCAAGUCGAGCGCCCCCUUCAGUGCUCAGCGAUUGAAGCUGAGUACUGAUGGGGGAGGCGGCGGACGGGUGAGUAACGCGUGGGAAUUUUCCUCAAGGUACGGAACAACUCAGGGAAACUUGGGCUAAUACCGUAUGAUGCAGAGAUGCCAAAGAUUUAUCGCCUUGGGAUAAGCCCGCGUCAGAUUAGGUAGUUGGUGGGGAAUGCCUACCAAGCCUGCGAUCUGUAGCUGGUCUGAGAGGACGAUCAGCCACACUGGGACUGAGACACGGCCCAGACUCCUACGGGAGGCAGCAGUGGGAAUCUUGCGCAAUGGGCGAAAAGCCUGACGCAGCCAUGCCGCGUGAGUGAUGAAGGUC